rnacentral:rRNA from 1 species
UUGGAGAGUUUGAUCCUGGCUCAGGACGAACGCUGGCGGCGUGCCUAAUACAUGCAAGUCGAGCGCAGGAAAUCGGCGGAACCCUUCGGGGGGAAGUCGACGGAAUGAGCGGCGGACGGGUGAGUAACACGUAAAGAACCUGCCCUCAGGUCUGGGAUAACCACGAGAAAUCGGGGCUAAUACCGGAUGGGUCAUCGAACCGC